GCGGUGGUUGGGGCUGGACCCGCCGCCCAUGAACCGGGCGUAGAAUGGCACACCGUUGCCAUCGGUCGAAUCGAUCUGCCGCC
rnacentral:tRNA from 1 species